AGUCGCGUCACUAUGCGAGCACUUCGCGAGAGUUCGCGAACGUUUCCCGCUCGUCCGACCCCGCAAGCCUACCGACGUUCGAGAAUUUUCGGUCACGAUUUCUGCGAAUAUCCAAACGUUGCGAGCUCAGCCCCUGAGUGGUUCGGUCGUGGGACAGAGCAGCUUCCAACUCGGAAAUAACAAAUUGCGUCGUCUGAUAUAACAAACAAGUUGCGUGGCGAGAGUGUCGCUCGCGGAAUGCUCCAGGGUGUCGCUUCAGCUGGCAGGAAAAAAAAUCAUCACUUCAAGCAGCCGGCUUUCGAACAUACCGUAAAUCCGCGGACCUCUCCGCCAUCACGAUGCACCGUUACGCGUCUCUGACGUUCAUUUGUCGUGUCUAGGGGACUUCCGAACGAGCAAUUCGUUUAACAUCGAGUCAACAGCAGAUAAAACAAGGAUCGAUCCUCCGGUAAUGGUCGAUCGGAAUCCAAUGUCCCGUAUCCCCGCAUUAACUUUUUGCUUCUAACGAAGGGUGACCGAUCCCUGCUCCGCCAGGAGAAUGGCCACCAUCCUCAUAUAUUUUUUUUUUUCGUUUCCUACGAGAACACGCAUCCCCCUCGUCCACUCAGAACGGAAGAGAGUCAUGGUUAUAUAGGACGCCAUUUUUUUUUAGGGAGGGUGGAAGAACUAAUGACGUGUAAAACAGUGCUGAACCUCUACGAGCCCAACAUUUCAAUCCAAUUGAAUUCAAUAGUUAUUUACCGCGGUCUAGGUGGACAUUGGAGGUAUGUUUUAUUCGUUUAUUUUUACGAGAAUCGAUAUUCAAAUGGCCAUUGACUCUGGUAUAUUCGUGCCGUUGAUGUAUAGAAGAUAUUUUAUUAUUUGUUUAGGAGAUUGAAUUUUUAAUUUUUAAGAAAAUGAUAUAUUCGAUGGACGAUUGAAUGGACAACUUAAUUAUUUUAUAUAAGGUCGUAUUAAACUUAGUUAAAACUAAUUAGAAGAUACGUUAAAACAAAAGUAAUAGUAACAGAUAAAAUGUAAAUAUAUGAUUCUACCAUGUCUGAGAACUUUCACGAUUGAAAGAAAUUGUU